GCACUGCUAAGGAGUCCCGUAAUAAGACGAAACGGCCGUCCAGUGC
rnacentral:hammerhead_ribozyme from 1 species